UCCCCGUGGUCCAGUGGCUGGGACUCUGCACUUUCACUGCUGAGAGCCUGGGUUCAAUCCCUGGAUGGGGAA
rnacentral:tRNA from 1 species